rnacentral:rRNA from 1 species
CGGCCUUCGGGUUGUAAACCUCUUUCAGUAGGGAAGAAGCGAAAGUGACGGUACCUGCAGAAGAAGCGCCGGCUAACUACGUGCCAGCAGCCGCGGUAAUACGUAGGGCGCAAGCGUUAUCCGGAAUUAUUGGGCGUAAAGAGCUCGUAGGCGGUUUGUCGCGUCUGCCGUGAAAGUCCGGGGCUCAACUCCGGAUCUGCGGUGGGUACGGGCAGACUAGAGUGAUGUAGGGGAGACUGGAAUUCCUGGUGUAGCGGUGAAAUGCGCAGAUAUCAGGAGGAACACCGAUGGCGAAGGCAGGUCUCUGGGCAUUAACUGACGCUGAGGAGCGAAAGCAUGGGGAGCGAACAGGAUUAGAUACCCUGGUAGUCCAUGCCGUAAACGUUGGGCACUAGGUGUGGGGGACAUUCCACGUUUUCCGCGCCGUAGCUAACGCAUUAAGUGCCCCGCCUGGGGAGUACGGCCGCAAGGCUAAAACUCAAAGGAAUUGACGGGGGCCCGCACAAGCGGCGGAGCAUGCGGAUUAAUUCGAUGCAACGCGAAGAACCUUACCAAGGCUUGACAUGGACCGGACCGCCGCAGAGAUGUGGUUUCCCCUUUGGGGCUGGUUCACAGGUGGUGCAUGGUUGUCGUCAGCUCGUGUCGUGAGAUGUUGGGUUAAGUCCCGCAACGAGCGCAACCCUCGUUCUAUGUUGCCAGCACGUG